rnacentral:rRNA from 1 species
GACGAACGCUGGCGGCGUGCCUAACACAUGCAAGUCGAGCGGAGACAGUGAGUAGCUUGCUAUGAGCUGUUUUAGCGGCGGACGGGUGAGUAACGCGUGAGCAACCUUUCCCAGACAGGGGAAUAACACACCGAAAGGUGUACUAAUACCGCAUAAGACCACGGGAUCACAUGGUUCUGGGGUAAAAGAUUUAUCGGUUUGGGGUGGGCUCGCGUCCGAUUAGGUAGUUGGUGAGGUAACGGCCCACCAAGCCGACGAUCGGUAGCCGACCUGAGAGGGUGAUCGGCCACAUUGGGACUGAGACACGGCCCAAACUCCUACGGGAGGCAGCAGUGGGGAAUAUUGGGCAAUGGGGGGAACCCUGACCCAGCAACGCCGCGUGGAGGAAGAAGGUUUUCGGAU